GGAGCCGGGCGCCUUCGGCAGGACGUACCGGGGACAGUGGGCCCCCACAGCCCUCUUGGACUCUACGUGCAGUUAGGCGGUGGAGGGAACAAAAGAUACUUCUUGUCUGAAAAAUGCUGUGAGAGCAUUAAGGUUGGACAUAAGGAUCAGCCUUCCGGCUUGGAGGACUGGGUGCAAGGUGGGUGUGACAAAGAAAAGGAGCUCAAAACUGCCUCCUGUUCCAGCCUAACCAGACCACUGAAAAUUGCAUCACAAAAUGUAUGGUGACACAAAACUUCCACAUGGAGGGCCUGAGGGUUUGUGACAUCUGGACUGAUAAAAGUGAUGAUGUGGAAACACUAAUACCGAAGCAUGUGCAAGGUCAACUUGAGAAGUUGGUCCCAGCUCUGCCGCCUCUUCAAAAGUUAUCCUGUCCUGUCAGAUACAAAAGGCGCGAGGAAGCCCCACUCCCCUGGGACUGCCGUGGUAGCAGGAGUGCUGGAGAUGAAGAGAUCACAGAGAGGGCAAAGUGAAGCUUCUGGACCUCGCCUGCCCUUGUAACCAGGGCCUUCUCCCUCCACUGCCAACCCCAGAGUGAUGAAGUCUGCAAGUUUCCCCAGGCCUCAUAGAUGGCCACGUUGAGAUGCCCCUUGAGACCCCGACCACACAGACAUCACUGCUGUUUCCACUGGAUGCACAUCCUCAGGCCACCCUGCCUCCCCCUGGACAUCACCAAUAAUUCUACUGUGUCCUAUUGAAGCGCAGCUGCCAUAACGCCAGUGCUACGCGGGCGGGGACAUCUCUCCCUGCUCGGUUUCACUCUGCGAGAGGGGCUCAGAGAUGUAUCCGCUUGUGCCCACAGUGUCUUCUGGAAUUUUGAGUGAAAUAGUGCCUCUGUUUUACCAUGCAUGAGGCUGAAGGAGGAGUCCCAAGUGUAUGAGGUGUUGAGCUGGAAAGAGCCAAGGAGCCACGCUCUCGCUUUAGGGCUGGGGGCUGGAGCUGGGAGUUGGCUCUGCCACUAAAAGGCUGUGUGACCUUGGACAAGUCGCAUUCAGGGCUACUUCCCCUCCUGCGUCA